rnacentral:rRNA from 1 species
CCUACGGGCGGCAGCAGUGGGGAAUAUUGGACAAUGGGGGGAACCCUGAUCCAGCCAUGCCGCGUGUGUGAAGAAGGCCCUCGGGUUGUAAAGCACUUUCAGUGAGGAAGAACGCCUGGUGGUUAAUACCCAUCAGGAAAGACAUCACUCACAGAAGAAACACCGGCUAACUCCGUGCCAGCAGCCGCGGUAAUACGGAGGGUGCGAGCGUUAAUCGGAAUUACUGGGCGUAAAGCGCGCGUAGGUGGCUUGAUAAGCCGGUUGUGAAAGCCCCGGGCUCAACCUGGGAACGGCAUCCGGAACUGUCAAGCUAGAGUGCAGGAGAGGAAGGUAGAAUUCCCGGUGUAGCGGUGAAAUGCGUAGAGAUCGGGAGGAAUACCAGUGGCGAAGGCGGCCUUCUGGACUGACACUGACACUGAGGUGCGAAAGCGUGGGUAGCAAACAGGAUUAGAUACCCGAGUAGUC